rnacentral:lncRNA from 1 species
UCUGCUUUCUCACGCUUCGUUUGGGAUUAUAGGAAGCUUGCGUUAUUUGCAGCGAAAAAAUACGAUAAAAAAAUAUUAUAUUUAUUUUCGUACGUAAUAUUGCGUUUCGCAUACUGUAAUUAGGCUUCGUUUGGAAUAGUCGGGAGAUUGCUUUACGUGCGGUGAAAAAGUAUGCAGUGAGAAAGUACAAUAAAAAAAUAUCAUAUUUAUUUCCGUACAUAAUAUUGCGUUCCGCAUAUUACAAUUAGACUUCGUUAGGGAUUGCGGGGAGAUUGCUUUACGUGCGGUGAGAAAGUAUGUUAAUUUGAAAAAUAUUCUAUUUGUUUUCGUACAUAAUAUUGCGUUCCGCAUAUCGCGAUGAGUCGGUUACGAUAUAUUUUCUGCGGUCCACCGGAGAAUGCAGAAGCAUACCCUUAUAUGUUUUUUCCUCAACUCCAUUUUAUCUAAUAGUGUUAGAUAGACAUCAAUCCCAAACUAAGCCUUAGUCGGUUACGAUAUAUUUUCUGCAAUUUCAUUGGAGAACGCAGAAGUAUAUCUCUAUAUAUUUUUACCCAACUCCAUUUUAUCUAAUAGUGUUAGAUAGGUCUCAAUAUCAAACUAAGCUUCACAAGAAAAAAAAAUUGUACAUAAUUUUAUAGAUUUACCUAAUUUUUUUUAAUUUGCAAUGAUAAUAACGUACAUAAUUUACUAUCAAAUCUUUUAAUUUAUUUGAUCUGAAUUAAUCAACGAUAUUUAUUUUUAAAUUUUGAAUGUGUCAUUUAUAUUAACAGAUUUAAUUAGUAUAUUUCGUAUAAUUCUUACGGCUAUAAAUUUAUUAAAAUAAAUAAUUUAACUUAAAAGUCAAAAUAUUGUUGACCGACUCAAAUUAAAUAAAUUGAAAAGUUGAUUAAUAAAAUUAAAAUUUUAAAAUGUUGGGUAGCCAAAUCAGGAUAUAUAGUCAAUAAUUCAAAUAAAUUUUGUACGAUUUUACCGGUUUUAAUAGCUUGAUUUAUAUUUAACUUCAUAAUUUACGAAAGUUCACCAAUAAAAUAUAACUACUAAGCAAAUUCCUUCAAAUUUUGUAAAAUUAUGUUUUAAUUCAUAUACAGGUAAUUUGAUUGAUUUAUGUAAUGCAAUUCAAAAUUAUGUCUAAAAUAGUGUUGAUCACUUGAUAACUUAUGUGACUAAUAGUGAUUGUUUAUACCUUCAAAUUUUAAACACAAGACGCAUAAUAAUAUGAAUAUAAAAUCUCAAUAAACACAAUACUGAUGUAUCAAUAUAUAUGUAACAAUAGUUCGAAUCCUAGUUGAUUCACAUUUCCAACUAAGUUUAUUUCUAAAUGAAAUAAACGAAGCGGGUAGCCUGCUACCUAUCUCUCAAUAUAUAUAUAUAUAACAAUCUAGAGUACCUUCUUAGUUAGAAUAUGCAGCAUUAUUAACACCUCCUAUCUGGAGCAAGUUUCUAUCAAUCUUAAAUGUCGAAAUCAUUUUUUAAAAUGCAAAAAUAUAUGUAGCAUUAUUGCUACGUAGGUUAGAAUUUUUCUCAAAUUAACUUGUCUUUCUAUAGAAUUAAUCCACUAUGCAGCAUUAUUGCUACGCACGUUAGAAUUUCUUACGUGCAGCUUAUUACAUAAGAAGAUGCCCCUUAAGGAAGGGGUCACAUUUAGACCGUACUCUCAAUGGUGGCAAAGCGUUCUGUCAACCCGUGACAUAUGCCGGUGAGGAGUAUCCUAUGCGAUUGGGGACGGUAGUACCGUGAGCUUUUGGAAGGACCAUUGGUGUGCCCCUCUCUCACUACAAUCAAUGUUCCCCCAUAUCUUCAACGCUAUAGUUAGGAAGAAUCUCCGAGUGCAGAAAGUGCAGGCGCUCACGGGUGGAGGUGGCACAGAAUUUUGCGUGGGUUUAUGCCGAGCUCCACCGCAAAUGAUGACGCAGUCUAGGAGUUGAAAGGGAUGAUAUGCACUGUUACAUUAGCGAAUAACGGAGAUGAAGUAAGAUGGAGAUGGAGUCACGUUGAAGCAUUCACGGUCAAAUCAUUGUAUACCUUCCUACAGGACAGCGGGGUAACGGAGACGAAAUUGGUACCGAUUUGGAAAAUCAAAAUACCACUUAAAGUUAAAUUUUUUUGCUGGCUUGUGGUGAGGCGGAAGGUUCUAAUGAAGGAUAAUCUCCUGAAAAGGGGAUGGUUAGGGGCGGACACGUGUGACCUAUGCUUGGACGAAUCUGAGAAUGUUAAUCAUCUUCUCUUGUAGUGCAACGUCUCACGUGCGCUACUGAGCUACUUACUGCCGAACAAACGGGGCCUAGCUAGGGGCCUGUUGGUCUGUAGACGACCUGUGGAAGGAUUGCAGUAGUAAGCAGGGAGCUCUAGCAAGGAAGGAGUUAGCAACCUUAGCCGCUACUUGGCGGGCUAUUUGGUUGGAACGGAAUAGGCGAAUUUUUGAGAACAAAAAGAUGUCGAGGAGACGGGUGUUUGCUGAAGUUCGAUCUCAGUACAACUUGUGGGACUCCUAUUGCAAUUAUUUAGUUUUUUAUUUUUAUUUUUUUUUCGUCUCGCUUAGGAAGCCUUCUUGCUUCCCAUCUUUGUUAAAUUCAACUACUUUAUGAAUAAAGCGGUAGCAUGCUAUUUUUUUUCUCAAAAAAAUCCACCGCCUAAUCCCAUGGGAUUGACCAAGUGUACAUGGAGGUGGGCACGUCAAGUCAACGCAAUAAUGGCAUUAUAUAAACACGUGUAGUGCUGAUUAUAAUAUUAAGUCAAUGUAUUAGGUGGGAAACUGGGAAUAGGAGUCGAAGAAGAGAUAAUACAGGUGGAUUGUUAACUUCAAAUGCAUGAUCGAGACUCGAAAUUAAUGACGCGUGAUUUUCUAAACAAACAUCCUCACCUUGGCAACAGUUUUAUGUAUGUACCUCAAAAGAUUGAUGUUUCACGACCUCAUGAAAUGAGAAGAGAUUAGAACUGACUCUGAUGAGAUACGAAGCAAUCACUAUAGUGAAACUUAUGAUGAGAUGCGAAGCAAUCACUAUAGUGAAACUUAAGGCUAGCGUUUUAAUUAUCUUAUAUUCGACCCAAAAGCAAGAGGAUAGUUGUAAUUGUUUGGGUAAAGGUAGAUUUGGAUUUACUUCUAGUUCAAAAUAUCGAAUUGUCACGGUCUCGUCUUAUCUUUGCUAGAAAAAGUGUUCUUAGACAUUUCUUGCAGAUACGAGCAGCAGAAUUUGGAUUGUUAUAUGUUUGUGCUUUCAACAAAAAUAAACGAUCAACAAAACAGUUUCUCCGGGCAGUGUCAGGCUCUAACAUACGAAGCAAAGUCGCAUGUCUUUGCCCGGCCCGACCCGGUCCGGUCCGGCCCGGCCCGUAUCUUUUUCUGUAGUGCAUAAUAAUGCACAUGCACCAACAACAGUGGAUCCUCGCACCAACUGCCGACAUCUAAAAUUCAUUAAUCUCCCUUCCAUCACAGCCGUCAAAGCCAAGAUCGACGGCCAGCAUCUCUCCUCAUUAGCGUGACUUGAACAGUCUCUAAGUCAACGUCCGUACUAUGUAUUAGAUUCGCAACAGUCAGACUCAUGACUCAGCUCUCAUUUCCUCUCCUCCCGGGAGUCAAAAAGUCAACAACAUCCAUGUUGUUGUUAUCAGCGUCCAAAGAACUUCUGUAAAACGCACUUUAUUAUGUUCCCACUCUUUUUAUUCGAGACACUAAUUAUUUCCUGCACCCGGUGUAAUCCAUAUAUCUAAGUAUCGAUCAGAUGCAACUUCAUAAUUAAAUAUUCGACGCUCAAUGUUUUUAAAAGAUAAGUUUAAUAAACAUAUAUAAUUUACAAGAUCUACGUGUUCCAUAAGCAAAGAAAUCACAAUUAGUUUUCAAAAUCAAAUAUCUGAGCAUCAAACAGCAAUAAAAUUAACACUACAAUAAAAACGGUCUACAGCGACACUUUUAAACGUCGGUAUAGGUCAAAAAAUAGUGCUGCUGACUAAAUUAUUGACACUUUUAAAAAAUGUUGAUAUAUGUGGAGUCGCUAAGUAUAUAGUGACAGUUAAAGAGCGUCGCUAUAACCAAAAAGAGUGCUGCUAAUUUACCAAUACUUAUUUAAGCAUUUAGCAACCGCCGGAACUCUACCUCGUUGGCUGUGGUGGUGGAGAAGUACGAGAGGAACGGAUCUUUGUCUAAAAUUUCAGUGGAUUGAGUGAGGGGAGAAAGAAAAAUGGUAAUCAAUUUUUCUUUUUUUUUUUCUUUUCUGUUUGUAAUCGGACCGAAUGGGCUGGGUGGGGUGGGUUGAGUAGAGUAACUUUUUAUUUUUGAUUGGAUUGGGCUUUAUAUUUAGGUAUUAGUAGAUUUUUUUUAAGUUAUUGCAUAAAUUGAACACUUAUACAAAAAUGUCCCAAACAUGUGUUCCUAUAACCUAAUUCUGUUAUAAUGUAACAACACAGAAAGAGACACGAUUCAAGUGCUGCAGUGCAUGGAGCACCAGGUGCAUGCAAUAAUUUCUAAAUUUAUUCCUUUCCCUGUUCAUACCAUAUAUCUUGUCCGAGUUCUUUAUAUAGUAUGGCGAUACAAAUAAAGGGCUAAAACAAUAUAUGCUCAAUUCAAUCCUAUCUAUAUAUAUAUAUAUAUAUAUAUAUAUAUAUAUAUAUAUAUAUAUAUAUAUAUAUAUAUAUAUAUAUAUAUAUAUCAUCAAGCUCGUAUGUGUUUAAAUGGGUCAUCGAGGAGUUAAAAGAAUCCAAAGAACAUUAACAGCCAUGGAGAGCUCUCAUGGAACAUCGACGAAGCUGGAGAGGAAAACAGUGGAGAAAAAAAGGAGGGAACAAAUGAAAGCGCUUUACGCGAAGCUCGACUCUCUACUUCCGAGCUCAACUAGUUCAAGGGUAUGUAUAUAUAUAUAUAUAUAUAAAGAAUUAUAUAUGUUUCGAUGUAAUAAGGUGUAAAAUAUUCUAGAGUAAUUCACAUAACGGAUAUGUAGAUCGCUCGUAGAAAAAUGUUUAUUUAUAUUUUUCCACAAAAUCCAAAAUUUUUGUAUGCACCCUUGAGAAGCUACCAAAUUAAGUACGUGUCUCAAAUAUAUUUUUUUAUUAAAGCCCAAAUUAUCAUGGAUUGGAUGGCUCUUGCGAUCGACCUAGCUACGUAACAUUAUAUUCGAAGAGUAAUAUAAAAAAUUGGGGCUUUGCUUAUUUUUAGAGGUAAACAUAUGUAUUUUCAAUGAAUACUAUAUAAAAACAAUUUGGCACCCUAUAUAUCGUUUUUAAGACUACGUACCUUUAGAAAUAUUUCGGUUUUAUUGCUUUUUUUUCUCAAAUGAAUGUUAGAGUAGUCGAUUUGACAUUUGAUACAACUAAUAAGGCAUCUAAAUUACUUGUUCGAAGUUCUCGAAAGAUAUGUAUGUGUGGUAAUCCGUACUUUGUUUCGGUCCACAGGAAGGGGCAACACUGCCGCGACCUGAUCGACUAAGCGAGGCGGCGAAUUAUAUAAAGGGGAUGCAGGAGAAGCUCGAGAGGAUGAAGGAAAGGAAGAGGCAACUGAUGACUCGCAAUGAGGCGGCGGAUAAUUCGAAGCUUCCGAAGAUAGAGGUGCAGAAUCGAGGUUCAAAUCUAUAUAUGAUACAAAUCGUUAGCAGCCCCGAUGACCGCGCCAUGUUCUAUGAGGCGGUUCGAGCUGUGGAGGAAGAAGGUGGCGAGGUUUUGAAUGCCCAGUUCUCGACUACGGACCGAAAAGCCUUCCACACCAUCUAUGCCUUGGUGGGGUGAAUCAUAUAUAUGAUAGCUAGGUUUUACCAUUAAUGUUGUACUAAUCUUUUCGCAGUUACUAGCUAACAGUUCUUAUACUUACAAGGGCAAUGCUAAUCGAAUAUUCGAUCGCCUUGUGGUAUACUAUUUAGAUAGUUAAAGUGGGCACAUAACAAUCAUAUGAUGAUAUACAAGAAAUGCUCAAACGAAGUAGGUUAAUUUGCUCAGUUCAUUGAUUCUUCUUGUUUGUAGUGUUUUAACAAGUCCCAAAACUAUAUUUACCAAUAACUUCAAUGGUUAAUAUGAUUUGAAAAUUAGGAUAGCAAAAUGUUGUAAUUCGUCGUACAGGAUAGUUAGUUAAUAUAUACAUACCAUGCAUAUAUAUAUAUAUAAUUCAUUUGAUUUUGCUUAACUUUGGAAUUGUGUUCUUGUAGGUUGGAGAUUUUAAAUAUCGGUUUGAAACUGGAAAACUAAAGGAGAGAUUGAAGGAUCUAGGUUGGCAAGGGAGGCGUGUGUAAAAAGGAUUCUUGUUUGUUUCGGAGCCGCGAAAUGAACAGUGUGGGAAAUUUAGAAAAUUCCGAGGACUCGAGUGCAAUAGUCAAUAGUCUCCUUUUCCUACUCUCCAAUGCUUUCUCUUUAGAACCUUUCUUACCUUUUUAUGAUGGUAGAAACAAUUAGUUGCAUUUAGAAGGGCCCUAAUGGACCCCACAAUCCACUUCCUUGUGCCCAUUAAUAUUCUUGUUUAAACAUGUAAGUGCUAUAUAUUGGGACAAAAAUUAUAUGGGCAUCAUUUCGAAAUUAGAAGUUUUGGGGUCGAUGUGGAUGGGCACCGUGUGGCGUACGCCCAUGCUCGCCCUCCCCUACGAAGAAAAAAAAAGAAAAAAAAAAACAUGGGUGUUAAUUUUGAGAGAGAGAGAGAGAGAGAGAAAAGCUGAUGGAGAGGAACGGAGGGUGAGGAUGGGCGUGCGCCGGCCAUGCAGUGCCCAUUUGCAACGUCCCCAAACUUCUAGUUCGGGACGAUGCCUAUAUAAUUUUUGUCCAAUAUAUUGCUGCUUAUUUUAGCAAUUUAAAAUGCAUCAUUAUGUUUGUACUUGAGUCCAGUUAUUUAAAUGUUCUUUUUUUAUUUUUGGACUGUAAGACAUGGUGAUUUUCUGUAUAAUUCAUUAGUACCGCUCAAAUUUUUAUCGUCUUAGAUAUUUUACGAAACGUGGGCACAAAUUAAAUGGGCCAAGUAUACCACAACUAGCUCAAUUAGAGCCGAAAUGAGCCAAUGCGGUCCAGCCCGAAAAUCAGUUCCAAAUUGUAGCCCUAAUUACCUGACCCUAUGUGCGUUAGAAAUAUAGCAUUCGUGUCUAAUGUUACCGAGCCCGUGGACCACCUUUUUUGCACUCAUGUACUUAAUUUGGUUCUUAAUUUUAUUUUAUGAUUUAGAAUAAAAUUAUAGUAUUAAUUAAUGAUAUUUCCUAUUUUAAUUGUAUCUAACUUGUUAAUUGGUUUUGCAAAGCCACUAUAACUACUCGACUUGACCCGUCAGCAAUAAUGAUUUGUUGGGCGAAAACCAUUGGCCAAAAAUAUUUAAGCGGAGCGAUGUGAAACUUGCCUCUUUAGCCUUGUUAUUCUAACCUGGCUCAACAAAGACUCAUUUCACACUUUCGGCUGGUGAACCGGUUCUAAUAGCAAAUGUAACGACCCAAUCGACCAACAAUAAUAAUUUGUUUGGCUAAAACCACUGACCUAAAAUAUUUAAACCCAGUUAUUAUUAUUACAGUGGAGUUUUCUUUUAUAUCCAAUGACAAUUUCAUUUCCAUCCGAUGUGGAAUUAUUGGAGGUAUUACAGCCACGACGCUGGGGCAUCCGAAGUUGCGAACUCAAGCAAAAAACGAAGCUGAUCAACACUUCCUCUCGCAAGCCAUACAAAGCCCUAUCACUUGAGACCAUGUAUACAUGCAUGUUUAUGUUGAAGAAGUGCUUCUCGCAUUACUUGUAUCUUCGAAUUAAAAGAAAAAAUAUAUAUAUUCAUGUUAAGUACCGUAAUCUUCAAAUUUCAGAUAUAAUGCAUUUAAGCAUCAAAUCUAAGAUGCUAAGACAAUUAAUGGCUCAUUAACAUCCAUUGAAUGUUUAUUUCUCAGAUAUAAUUUGGAAGAUUUUCAUGGUGCGCACGAGUGGAAUUAUUCUUUUUCUACUUUUUUUUUAUAUAAAAAAAAAAAGAAGCUUGAAAUUCACAGCCUCUAACAAGAGAGUGGAUGAUACCAAUGACCACUAUACUAAGGACUAAGAUGUUCCAUACAACAUUAUUUAAUCUAUUCAAAAGAACACAGAAUAAUCAAAUUAUUAUUGUACAACAGUAAAGCUUUAUCAAUGAUAAUAGCUAUCACCAGUCCAAGAACAUGGUAUACAGGAGUCACUAAGGUCCAUGACAAACCCAAAAUAUCUAAUAGUGGGAUCUUGGUAUUGCGUGUACUUCUAAAUACCAAAGAUGGUUGUGAGAGAUUGAGAGUUGAUCAUUAUAUAAUUCUGUAGCAAAUUCUAAAUCAGAUUUUUAUAAUUUAUUUUGGUUGUUAAUUUGAGGAGAACUUUCUUUGUUUUGGUGGGAAACAAGGAUCAGAUGCCAAAUUAUAUAUUAAUUGAAAAUUGAUGUUGGACACUGACCUUCUUAUUCUCUCUUUGAUAGAGCACUCAAUUUAAAACAUUAAAAAGAGCAAUCAUUUGUGGUCCAUUUGUUGCUUUGAAAAGUUCCUUGUUCCAUCAUCUUAUUUCACCCAGUGGACCACUGGGGUGUUGAGGCUCUUAAUCUUUUCUGAUAGAAACUUUUUUCCUCUCACUCUCUGUAACCAAAAAAAAAAAAAAAGUCAAAUAAGUUUUAAUUUUGCCAAAAAAAAGGAAAACUUACAUAAACAAUCCUUUCCUUUUUGUUUUUAAGAAUAGGCAAAUCACCUUUUAAUUGGGAUUAGGGGAUGGUAUAAACAUUUCUUUUAUCUCGAUAAACAUUUCUUUAAAUGAUGUAGGCUUAAUUUGUUUGCUGUAGAGGUUAAUUAAUUCAACAAGAAAUUAACUGCAAAUGCUGGAGCUAGCCCUAUAAGUUGGUGGGUAAUAACUAAUAAACAGGGGUGAGUCUAUGUCCUAAUGAGGUGUCCUGGGAAUGCAACAUUUGAUGCUCUCAUUUGACUAGGUACACCCACAUGCAGUCAUUUUCCUACAUGUCAACAUCAUAGAUCUACGGUUCCAGAUCAUGCUACGUGCCAAUGCCAUGCCAUGUAAAAGGUUCCCCCCUCUCUCUCUCUCUCUCUCUCUCUCUCUCUCUCUCUCUCCCUUGGGAAAGAAUUGCAAUUUGGUCUUUUAUUAAUUUAUCUAGUAUAUGAAAUUACCUAAUAUUUUACAAGAUCUUAUGAUAUUUUGGAUUCAACUUACAGUGCUAUGAAAGCAACCUUUAUGAUAAAAAACAAAAAUGUUAUUUGAACAAUACUAUUAUAAUAAAAUUUAGAAAAAACUUCAAAUACCCCCCUAUAGUUUCACACUUUCUCACUUUGGUACCAUAUGAUUUAAAUUGUAUCAAGUUAGUACUCCAUGGUUUCACACUUUCUCACUUUAGUACUAUAUGUUUAAUAUUUUGUUAAAUUAUAUACCCCGAAAUAGAUAAUAAUAAAAAAAAAAUUAAAACCAUAGGGUACUAACUUGAUAUAAAAAUAAAACCCCAGGAUACUAACUUAAUACACUUGAAACCACAAAGUACUAAAGUGAGAAAGUGCGAAACCACAGGGUACUAACUUGAUGCACUUUAAACCACAGGGUACUAAAGUGAAAAAAUACAAAACCAUAGGAGGAGUAUUUGAAGUUUCCCGUAAAAUUUAUACUAACUUAUUAGUUUUAAUAUAUAUACAUAUAUAUUUUUUAGGGCAGAUAAAUUAGAAAUCAUGACGAUUUCGUACUUAUGUAAUUAAGGUUUGCCAAUGCAAUGCCAUGUUUCUUUCUUAAAUAAAAAACGACAGGUAAAAAAAGUCCUAUUGUUGCUUAAAUAAGAAGCUGAAAUAGGUCACGAGAGAAAGAGGGUGGAACGCAUGUAUAAUGGGAGCGAAUUAAGAUAAAAAGAGAUUUAUAUUGUUUCACCCAUAUUAUUUAAUUUAUUAUUUUAAUGAAUAAAAUAAAUAGCCUGCUAUAUUUUUUUCAAAAAAAAAAAAAAGAUAAAAAGAGGUUCGGUGCUCAAGAAAUUUAUUAUAUAAUAAUGUAUGUUAAAGUGGUGCUAGCUCUUCCGAAAUUAAAUCUAUAUGUAUUUUUUCUAUUCGCACUACAACUCUACAAGCAUAUAUUACUGCUAAAAAGUUGACUGUGACAGCAGUGUGACAUGAAUAAUGUUGCCACCUUUAAUUACUUUUCACAGUUUCGCAGCAGCAUUAAUUAUUUAAUUUUCGAACCCCCGAUUUUAUUUCCUAUCAGCUGGCAGCACCUUAUUAAUUUUGAGCAGCUGUUCUUCUUCCUCGCAGUCGCAGAUUAUAUAACUGGCUGCUCCUGUGCCUUUGCUCUACCUUUCUGCAGCUGCUCAUGUGCUUCUCGGAUACGCAAAUGGGGGCCCUACCCAAAUGACCACUGUGUGCCUACUUGGCCCACAUUAUUGUGUUUGUGUGUAUGUUCAGAGAGAGACACGGAGACUCAGAUCAAGGGAUCAAUUCAUAGAGUCGAUGAGAGUAGAAGUUAUGCCGAAAAAUUAUUUCGUUUAUUAGAUAAUAGUUGGUAUCUGUUGGAUCUGUCAUCUCGUAACCUAUAAAAGCCUUUCGAUGAUUUAGUCGCAUCUACUUCCUAGAGCAUGUAUAGAAUCAUCUAAUAAAAUUGGCACGCUUGGAUGUCUCUUCAGUUUGACUUUUAAAAUAGCUUCACAUUCAUAUAGGAAUUAGACAUUUAUCUCUUGACCUCCUGCGCUUUAGAUAAAAAAUUCUAUGAAAUAUCAGCCUGUCUUCAAAGAAAAAUUAAAAUUUAUAUGUAGAACGUGCGGCCUCUCCUCGAGAGAAAAACUGAAAUGAGCUUCUAGUGGCUGUCAACAAAAACUUCAAUCACCGACUGUUCUUAGAGCAAGUAGCAAAGGGCUUGGUGGUUGGUAUUCGAGACCCACGUUCGAAUCCUAAUUGAUUCACAUUUCCAGCUAAGUUUAUUUCUAAAUGAAAUAAACGAAGCGGGUAGCAUGUUACCUAUCUCUCAACAAAAAAAAAACAAAAACAAAAACAAAAACUUCAAUCGAAGAUGAAUAGCGAAUGAUGGGUUUAUGGUUAGUAAUUCAAGUUGAACAGUAUCUUAUUCGAAACCACAAUCAAGCCAAGCUAGUCCAAAGAGUGGAAUGUGUGUGUUAUUUCUGUAUUCUUUUGGAUGACUAUUUUUAAUUAUAAUUAAUUAUAUAUCCCCCUAACUUUUUUCCACAAGGAAGUGGGGUUUCACCAUCUCUGAUUCUCCAUCAGACACAUCAUCUAUUAUUCCACUUCCACCAUCUCCAGUUGCCCAACAGUGAAGUACAACCAUCCUCUCUCUUUAUUUACUUCUCUUUUAUUUAUUUAUUGAUUUAUUCCUUCUCUAUUAUAGCAAUCAGAGAAGGCACUUUCCAUAGAAUGACUCAAUUCUAUAGCAACUUAGUUUAAUGCAACUUAGCCUAGUUUUUAUAAUAUAUAUAUAUAUAUAUAUAUAUAUAUAUAUAUAUAUAUAGAGAGAGAGAGAGAGAGAGAGAGAGAGAGAGAGAGAGAGAGAGCAGGACUACUGUGCUAUUAGUAGCACAUCAGUCUUUAUAUUUCUAACUUCCNAUAUAUAUAUAUAUAUAUAUAUAUAUAUAUAGAGAGAGAGAGAGAGAGAGCUAAGCUGGUAUACUAUCGGUAGCACGAAAACCUUCGUACUACCAAGUUGUUUUCGAUGAUGCGGCUUCCAAAUCGACGAUCGGCUUCAUUAGAUUCGAUCUAAACUAUUAAAAGUAUUUGAAAACUAAAUUUCAUAAUUUUUCGAUAUUAUUUGACUAGUGAUUAAAAUAUCUAAAAAUUAAUAAUUUUAAUGAUAGAUGUGAUGUGUUUGUGAAUUUUAUAGUGUAAAAUAAUUUAAAUCUGAUGAAAAUUUUAUAGAAAAUUCUUUUCACUAUUUAGAGUAAAAUCAGUAUCUCUGAUAUUAAAUUCAAGUUUUUUAUCAUCAUUUUUUAUGAGAUUUUUAUUUUAAGCCGUUUAUUUUUAGACUACUCGUUUGAGGUAAAUGAUGUCGAAAAAUUAUGAAAUUUAGUUUUCAAAUAUUUUUAAUAGCAUAGAUAAGUCUAAUGAAAUCGAUCAUCGAUUUGGAAACCGCAUUAUUAAAAAUAACUUGGUAACACGAAGGCUUCCGUGCUACCGAUAGUAUACCAGCCUAGCUCUAUAUAUAUAUAUAUAUAUAUAUAGAGAGAGAGAGAGAGAGAGAGAGUGUGUAAAACUACUAUGCUUUUCAAAACAUAAGGUAAUGCGUGUUUUUGAUUUUUGUCUCUUAAACCAAGAAUUAUAUAAUUAGGAUAAUAAUAAUCCCCCUAAGGAUCUAGUGAUCUCCUUGGAGUUGAGUGGUCCAACAGAAUAAUAAUAGUAAGACUUACAAAUUUACUGCUUAGAAAGGAUAAUUAACGACGAGAAUAUUUCUUCGUACAGCUUCACUCGAACCGCACUUAAAUUCCUGAUUGGACGUAAUAGACCGCAUGCAGCAUCAAUUUCUUCCCACAUUAUUAGCAAAGUAUAUAUAUAAAUCAAACUCAUGGAUGUAAGAUAGAUCUUCCAAUUGUCCGUAUUCUACCAUUAACAGCAGUAACACUAGCCAGAGUUUAAUCAAAACAAAUAUAUAAAGGAAAAUAAAUUUGAAAGAGAACAAUACUCAGAUCAUUUAUCUCCUCCAAAUUUAUUUGCACCAGAGAGAGAGAAAGAGAAUAAUAAUAAUAACAGUAAUAACACGAAGAAGAAAAGAUCAAAUUUUACAACUCAAGAGGAGAUCUCCCCCCGAUCCCAUUUCUCUCCCAAUUAACUAAAAAAAUAAGGAAAAAGCUGAUCAGAGAGUACAAAGAUCAAACAGUGAGUAGGCACACAUCCAAGCGGUCAAUUAAGCAGGGGCAGAAGCGGAAGCGGAGGAGGAGGCGGGGGCGAGGCGCGGCGACGUCACGGGGAAAAGCGGGAGCAGCCGCGGCGGGAGACCGGCGCGCGGCGAGGGGUGGAGGUAGAAGCCCUUCUCGGCGAUCGCCCGCUCCUCGGCCGCCUCGGCCGCCUCCGUCCCCGGCGGCGGUGGAGUGGGGCGGGCGAAGGGGUCGGGGAGCAGCGGCGUGACGGGGCUGAGGACGAGCGAGGGCAGGUCCAGCACGCUCGGCGAGAGGACCUCCGCCGCGCCGCGCGGCGAGAACGAGGGCGAGGAGGAGGAGCAGGGGUUGGAGAACACGAAGGCGGGCAUGAGGGGGCUGAGGACCUUCAGGCUCUUGAGCGUGCUGCUGCGGCGCUCGUACAGCUUAAAGGCCGGCCUUUUGGGGCCUGGGGCGCCCUUCGCCGCCGCGGCGGCGGGAGGGUGCUUCGGGGAUGCGGCGGCGGCGGCGGCGGCGGCGGCGGUGUCGGAGGAGCCGGUGAGCAUCUGGACGACCUGCUUGAAGGACGCGGUGUCGGCNAGGGCUCGGCUUGGACGAAGGUGGUGGGGUAGGGGACGGCGUCGGCGCCGGGUCUCGCCGUCGGAGGCGGAGACGACGCCGCCGCGCCGGAGUUGGGGGUUUGUGGAGGUGGGUUCUCCUUGUGAUCUUGGGGUUUUGGGUAGUUUUCCAUGGUUUUGGGUGUCUUAAUGGAGGAGGAGGAGGAGGAGAUUUUGAGGAUGGGGGAGGGAGUGAGAGAGUGUGGAGAGUGGAAAUGGCUUCUGUGUGAGCAAAUGGGGCGAAGGGUAAAUAAAGCACAAAAACAUUAAAAAAAACAAAUACAUAAAAAUGAGAUUUUUUACAUGUUGAUCCCUGCAAAACAUAUUUCUCUGAUAUGAAUGCAUACUUUGUAAAUAUUGAGUUUUUUACUUUUAUUUUUUUUCCGUACAAACACUACCCCCUCUUAUUUGAUCUUAAGGACUUUCUUUAUCCUUUGUAAAAGAUUAAAAAAAAUACGACAAUUUAAUAAAUUAAUAUUUUAUUGUAACAAAAUUUAAAGAUAUAAUUUUAUUAUUAAAAUUUUAAAUUGUUCACUUUGUAAUUUCUAAAAGUUUUGAUAGAAUCAACUGCGCGCGCUAGGUAUAUAUAUAUUUUUCUUAUUUCAACUGUAAUUAUACGAAACAGAACAUUUGGCAAUUAAAAAUUUGGAAAGUUCAAUUGUAGCUUUAAUUAGAAAUAAUUUUUUUAAGAAAGCUAACUUUGCCCGUAUAACGGCAUUUAUAUGUAAAAGCAAAUUUUGUGUGGAUGCAUUUGCAAGUUCAAAAUUCUUCAGGGCCCGGCUAUAGCUGCAAAUCUAGCAAAGAGGAAAAAGAAAAAAGAAAAAAGAAAAAAAGAACAAAGAAAAAAGAAAAUUGUAGGCACUCCGGUUUCAACCCGGUGUUGAGAUGUGUCCCUGUUUGUGCUGUUUGAUUGGGUUGCGCGAGGAAAAAGUGGACCACUAAAAUAUAAAAGGCCGGGGCCCACCUUGUCGCUGGGGCCCACACCCCGCUAGCAACGGUGAUUGGUGGAUCUCAAGUUAGGCUUCAGAUUGGGUCAAACUCCUUUUGUAGACUCCAUUUGUCCUCUAGUUAGGGAAAAAAAACACAUCAGACCCCAAAGUAGUAGUUUGGUAGCCGUAACGGAGAUGCACAAAUUAUUACCUGCACCCGGUCUAUUCGUAUCUCUCACAAACCGUACCUAAUGAUUAAAAAUAAAUAAAUAUUCGAUAUAAUACAUUCAAUUCAAUGUGCCGUGCAAAAUUUAAGGAGACUAUUUGUGCAAAAUAUAAGACAUUCAAACAAACUAGAUGCUAAUAUCAUGAUCUCCAUAAUAAAUUUUUAUAAGAAGCACAAAUUUCUUACAAUUUUACGUAUUAUUAUAGAAAAAUUUCACGAUCUAUUAUAUCAUCGUACGUACUUAUCUCAUUCAUAAUAAUUAAGAUAGAAGCAGCCACGGUCUCUAAAAGAAAAAAAAGAACAUAUAAUAAAACAAAAUAAAAAGUGGUGAAAGAUAAGAAAUUGGUAAUCCGAACAAUUGGCAGAAUUCUUUCCACGCAAUUAUCAGUAGUCUGACACGUUCAAGCGACUAAGAGGGAACGGUAGAUUUCGCUCUACAAAUUAUAUUAUUCUUCUCAAUCUAAACAAUCUAUCGGAUAUCCGACAAUAAGAUUUAAUCUUUUAGCCAGUGGUGUUUUCAUUUGUGAAAUCUUGUUAGCGUACAGAGAACCUGCGCCUUCUUAUAAGUGCAGCAGGACAUAUAUGUAUACAGACGGUGCAGGGAAUAGUUAAGAAACGUGGCAGUAGUAGUAAUAACUUUUUACAAAUUAUAGCUGUUUAGAUGGAAGACUUUUUCGAAGACGAGGGUGGGUGGACUGGGAGUCAUCUGUCAAAUCGGAUACGACGUUAGAUGCAGUUCGAGUCAGUCUGUGACUUGACGUGGGCCGGGGGUGAGGAAAAAUUCUAGAAUGCAACGGAUAUAUUAGUGACGUGACGUAACAAAACAAUCAAAUUAAUUCUUUUAAGAAUAUAUGUCUCAUCAUAAUUAUAAAAAAAUAUUUUUAUUAUACUUUUGUUUAAAAAGAAUGAAUGUGAUUGAUUUAUUAUUAAUGACGUGGUGUAAGUGUGACAGUGUAGAAUUCCUCGGGGGAGAGGCCGGUUGGUUGGUUGGUGAGGGAGCGUUAGUUUCUUACGCUGUAACCGAGAAUGAAUGGGGUUGCAUUAAUUGCUUUGAGCCAUUUUGAUUGAUAUACUUAAAGAGGAAAUGAAACGAUGGCAUUAGAGACUUUUUGUCCGAAUAAUCUUAAAAAAUUUUAUAUUUUAAUAAAUAACUUUUUAAAUUUUUUUUUUGAACGAUUCACCAAAUAUUAUGAAGACGGUAAAUCGUUCGUCGCCUUUUUAAAGACAGUGAACAAUCCACUGCUUUUAAAAUAAAAUUUUACUUCCACGUUGAUUUGAUAAAAAAAAAAUUAUUUCACUAAAUAUUUUUUUGUAGGAUUAUUUAUUCAAUUAUAAUAUUUUUGAAGAUUAUUUAGAAAAAAAAGUUCUCACAUUAGAUAUAUAAUCGAAUGAAUGCUCUCUUUGAUUCUUUUUCAGGUAUUUUUCCUUUCUUUUUUGUCUUUUUCUAAAUUUUUUUGGACUCCGGAUAAAAAGAGCACGAGGAAUCUAAUCCCUACUUAUUGCGGGGUUAGUCAUUCUCAAUCUAUCUUCUCAAGUGAGACUCCUCGUGGACUUAACAUGCAUUAUUGAUUUUUUUUGUUGGAUUAUGUAAAGUAAUAUUUCGAGUCCAUAUUACGAUGAAAACGUCGAAAAUUUGAAAUAUUUGAAUAUUGAGUACUUGAACUUGAAAUUUGAGUAUCGGUAUUAUUAACUAUUUCAGCAGUUCCUCAAAAUUCAAAGGCUGAAAAAAAUAUUUUUAUACUGUGUACCAGUAUGCGACUUUGAGUAUCGGAACAGUCAGUAUGAGUACGCGAAUUGGCUUCGAAUAUUGUUUCUUUAUUUUUUUAUUGUGUAUCAGUACGCGACUUUGAGAACCGGUACACGGUUUGGUGACGAAUUGGAUAGGCCGAAUUUGACUCCAAUUGGAUCUAAUUUUGUUUUAAAAGAUUAGAGAUGGUUCGGAAUCACUUUAAAAAGAAUUCUUAAGAGGAUAUCGACGGUUACAUUUGAAUCAGAGAUUCAAAUGGAUGGUGAAGGUCGUUUCCGUCUAGAAUUAGAAUUUUAGGGUUAUAUUUAUUCUUAUAACUAACCUUUUUAGAUGUGAGCUUUAUUGUAGACACCCUAAUUAAGAAGAAGAAUGUAGAGAACUCAUGAGAGAGUUUCUUAUAAUCCAAUCUUACUCUUUUUAUUUUUGUACCGUAAAUAUAGGUCUACUAAUCGUGGGCCGAACCAUGUAAAUCUUGUGUUCUUAUAUUUUCUUGUUUAUUUUAUUACUUUGUUAUCUUCUUUCUUGUUUUCUACCAUCUUUCUUGUUCUUUUCAUCUACUAAAUAUUCUGUUUCCGCCGUACUCGUGUGCUGUGUGGAUUUGAGAUAUGCUCGGUAACUUUACUACGUACCGGUCUCUUUCAUCUUUCAGGUAAAAGAGUGCUAAUGAUAGAUUCUAACUUUAGUUCGUUUUAAAAUAGGGUAAACUUCAAAUACCGCCCAUGUGGUUUCAUACUUUCUCACUUUAGUACCUUAUGGUUUAAAAUAUACCAAUUUACUACCCUAUGAUUUCAUUUUUCUCUUUUCAUCGGCCCUCCAUUAACAUUUCGUUAAAUCAUAUACAAAAAACUUUAGAUACCCUACCUAUAAUUUAUCGAAUAUUCACUUUAAUAUCCUUUAUUUUAACUUCGUCACUGAUUUAACGAAAAAAAGUUAGUGGAGAGGACAACAAAAAGAGAAAAAUAAAAUCACAGAGUACGAAAGUGAUACACUUUAAGCCAUAGGGUACUAAAGUGAGAAAGUGCAAAAUCGCAGAGAUGAUAUUUAAAGUUUUCUCUUUAAAAUAUUCAGCAUUCGAAUUUUAUAUUCGCAAUUUAUUUGAAUAACUCUUUUAUAUAUUUUUUAUUUUGUAUGCGUCUAUGAUGUAAGUUUUUUUGAAUAAUUCUAUUCAAAAAAGCACUUGUAUUCAAAGCUCUAACCAUGCCAAACAAAGGAGCCCGCAAGGCUCCGGUGUGGCCGCUACCGCGGCUGCAAGAAAAUGUUUCAAACCACCACAGCAGUGCUGUGGGACGGGCCGGGCCGACGAGGCCCAAACUGUGACGGCCUGUUUAGCUCCAUUAAAAUGAGAUUUUGAGUGCAGAAAAUUGUAUGGGUUAACUAAAAAUUUUGAGUGCGAGGGAAUUUUUUUUUUUUUUUUUUUGAGAGAUAGAAAACACGCUACCCGCUUUGUUUAUUUUAUUUAGAAAUAAACUUAGCUGAAAAUAUGAAUCAACUAGGAUUCGAACUUGGAUCUCGGGUACCAACCACCAAGCCCUUUGCCACUUGCUCUAGGGACGGUCGGUAGUGCGAGGGAAAGUUAGAAUGAGAUUUUGAGUGCGGAAGUUUUAGUUCGAUCUUACAUUUGUAGAUGCAAUAGAAAAUUGUUGUUUUGUUAAUGUAUGCAAGUUCCUCCCCUAAUUUAUAGGGUAAACUUCAAAUACCCUUCCAUGGUUUCACACUUUCUCACUUUAGCACCAUGUGGUUUAAAGUAUAUUGAGUUAGCCCCCGUGGUUUCCACUUUCUCACUUUAGUACCAUGUGGUUUAAAGUGUAUCGAGUUAGUACCAUGUGAUUUUAAUUUUCUCUUUUUAUUAUCCAUUUUGCUAAUUUUUUCAUUAAAUCAGUGACAAAGUUAAAAUUAAUGGGUACUAAAGUGAAUAUUCGAUAAACCUAGGUAGGGUUGAAUAUUCGAUAAACCUAGGUAGAGUAUCCGAAAUUUUUUAUAUAUAAUUUAACUAAAUAUUAACGGAGGAAAAAAAAUCAGUGACAAAGUUAAAAACUAAAAGGUGCUAACGUAAAUAUUCGAUAAACCUAGGUAGGGUAUCUGAAAUUUUUUGCAUAUAAUUUAACGAAAUAUUAAUAGAUAAGCCGACAAAAAGAGAAAAAUAAAAUCAUAUGAUACUAAAUUGAUGCAAUUUAAACCACAUGGUACUAAAGUGAGAAAGUGCGUAACCACAGGGUACUAAAUUGAUACACUUUAAACCACACGGUGCUAAAGUGAAAAAGUACAUACGUAACUACAGGGAUGAUAUUUGAAGUUUUUCUGAAUUUACAUGUGUUACUGGUAAAAAUGUCUUCAAAUAAAUUUCUAUACUAUUUUUAAUACAGGAAUUGAUAUUUCAAAAACUCUUUAUAAUAUUGUCUGAGUUUUUUUAAAAAAUAAUAAUAAUAGAUUUGCUCAGGCAAUAUCAACACUAACAUUGGCAAUAUCAAUUCACCUUUGACACUGUGUGAGAUUAUUUAGGGUUAUAAAUGCUGUAUUUUUAUGGAAAGAUCAUUUAAUGCACAUCACUAAGUAAAACUUUAAUUAAAUUUGCGGCUAACUUCCCCAAGGACAAAAACACUAGCAAAUUAAUUUAAGAUAAAGAACACACAGUGACAAUAGUCACUAGCUACUAAAUGCUCCCCCCACAAAUGAGGCGGAUUUAGGUGCAGCUUAAAUACACAUAAUUGGUUAAGACACGCAAUCUAAAAUGUUGUAUGAAUUUACCCAAAUAGGGUUUAUCCCUGUUUACUCAAAAAAAAAAUGUUGUAUGAAUUUGACAACAUAUCGAUAACUUCUGGAGCUAGUAUGUUUGUGCGACUUUCCUACUCUGAUUGGAGUUUCUAUUGAAAUACUGUAAAACAUGACUAUUUGAAAAAAAAAAAAAAAAAAAAAAAAAAUUGUGGCAUUUGCUUUCGGAAUUCAAAAACUUCUAUUAGCUUUUUAUCACAGCAAAAUUUUAGUUUUCUCUUUUGUGUCUCAAAACUAUGUAUCAUUUUGAAUUGGCUAUUCAANUAGUUGUAAUUUGAAUUCCAACUAUUAAUGUUGUACGUAUUUGAAAAAGCUAUAGUAUUCUUAGUUGGAUAAAAUCGAUUUUGUAGACCAAAAUAUUUUUCUAAGAUCAAAAUACCCUUUAAAUAUAUAUCCGGUGAAUAGUAUUUAUGCCUGAAUAGUAGGUCGCCUCUAAAAUCAUAUUACAUCUCAACCAUUUAUUUAAAAAGAUAAAUGGUUAAAAUUUAUAUGGUGUAUUAAAGUAUUACUCUAAAAUUUAUAUAUACAUACGGAUCAUAUAAUCUCUUCGACAUAAAUAAUAAUAUCCAGGCUUAAAUCGGAGAGCACGGGAAUUAGCAUAAGCAACAUUUGGGAUGUCACACAAUACUCGCGUAAAAAGAAGAGAGAAAAAACGGAAAAAGUGCAAAUAUUUCCAGCGGAUUUCUUGCUGUGCGAUCCUGUGACAAAUUUCGCGACAAAAUUCAAAACACACAACAAAUNUCAUUUUGAAUUGGCUAUUCAAUCUUUCAAGAUUUUAAUUUUACUAUCAAACCUUUUAGUUUAUUUAAUUAUAGUCGGUCAACGACACUUUGACUUCAAAAUUUGUGUGCAUUAUUUAUCUGUAUAAAUUGACUUCAUAUAAUUUUUGUAACUAUAAAUUUAUUAAAGUAAGUAAUUAAAAUAUUGUGGCCUAUUCAGAGCAAAUAAAUUGAAAAGUUAAACAGUAAAAUUAAAAUUUUGAAAGAUUAGAUAGUCAAUUCAAAAUGAUUUAUAGUUUAAAUAAAUUUUACAUUUUUUUUUUACCU